rnacentral:rRNA from 1 species
GAUCAUGGCUCAGGACGAACGCUGGCGGCGCGCUUAAUACAUGCAAGUCGAACGAGAAGCCAGAGCUUGCUCUGGUGGAAAGUGGCGAACGGGUGAGUAACACGUGAGAAACCUGCCCCAAAGAUUGGGAUAAGCCUUGGAAACGAGGUCUAAUACCAAAUACCUUCUUUUUAACACAUGUUAAAAGAGAAAUGCUCCGGCGCUUUGGGAUGGUCUCGCGAUCUAUCAGCUUGUUGGUGAGGUAACGGCUCACCAAGGCAUCGACGGAUAGCUGGUCUGAGAGGAUGUCCAGCCACAUUGGAACUGAGACACGGUCCAAACUCCUACGGGAGGCAGCAGUAGGGAAUCUUGCACAAUGAGGGAAACCUUGAUGCAGCGACGCCGCGUGCGGGACGAAGGCCCUAGGGUUGUAGACCGCUUUCAGUAGGGACGAAAGUGACGGUACCUACAGAAGAAGCCCCGGCCAACUAUGUG